UCGCCCUUCGUUUAUUUUUAUGAGGGGUUGGACCUGCCCGGUGAUUAGUCAAGUUUUGAAAUUAUUUUUGUAGUAAUUAGAAAUUUUUUUAAACGGCUGCAAUUAGUAAUUGUGCUAAGGUAGCGUAAUCAUUUGCCCCUUAAUUAGGGGAAGGUAUGAAUGGUUUGACGUGGGAAAAGCUGUCUCUUUUGUAUAAAAAGAAGUUUAUUUUUGAGUGAAAAAGCUUAGAUUUUUAUAAAAGACGAGAAGACCCUAUCGAACUUGAAUCAUGUGUUAAAAUUUUUGGGUACAGAAAGUUUAGUUGGGGAAACUUAAAGUUAAAAAAAACGCUUUUUUUGUUAUAAAAUGAUCCUAUACUAUGGAAAAAUGAAAAAGUUACCGUAGGGAUAACAGCGCUUUCUUCUCUGAGAGGACUAAUUAAAGAGUUGGUUGCGACCUCGAUGUUGGAUUAAGGUUUCUUUUUGGGGUAGGAGUUAAAAUAGUAAAACUGUUCGUUUUUUAAAACCUUA
rnacentral:rRNA from 4 species